CACGCUUUUGCACCUUCGAAACCCUAAUUUUGAUAUCCAUCUUCUCUCUCACGCUUCAUUCCAAACCCUAAUACACUCCAUCCCAUCUCUCCGAUCCUCCACUUUGCCUUUUCUCUGCUUCAACCAUUGAUUCUAAAUGCAUUUGGUGAGUUUAUUUGGACGACGAUCUACGAACCAGGUAAACAACCAUUCGAUCAUAUGUGUUCUUCCUUCAAUGCUCUCGGCAACGAUUGGAACCCUAGAUCUCUAAAGCAACGAUUCGUUUUCGGAUGCGACAGUGCCAGAAUACUCUCCGGUUCACAUGACUUCUACAAGCAGGUACACAAGUUAUUUUUAUCAAUAAGUUCUAGAUUUUAACUGAUUAAGGUAGUAAUCUCUCUAUUUUCAUAUGAUAUUAUUCUUCAGUUUUGGUUUAUAUAAUUUAUUAUUGUUUAUAUAUUUUAUUAUGGCUUAUACUGAACUUAUUGGUUUGAUUGUGGAGUGGUUGGGAUUAUGGUCUCUGGGUAAUCAGAUGGAUUAAAGCUUAAGGUAUAGCACUUUUCAUGUUCUGAUUCAACGUUUUUGUUCAUGUAUUGAAGGUUUUUCUUAAUGAAUUGAAUGUUGCGUGUGUUCUGGUUGGUUUGGGCAUGUUUAUAAGGUGUUCGAUGAAAUGCCAAAAGUUUAUUUUCAUUCUAUUUUGGUCCAGAAAUACAAAUACUUCUUUUUAUUGAUAAUAUCAUUGAUUUUAGUCUAAUUAUAUAUAGAAUUAUUACUAUGUGUAAUUAUUAAAUGUGAGGAUUGCUACAUUCUUUCCAAGUUAGAAAAAUAUAGAUAAAUAAUCUUUUAUAAGUUUUCAUUUUCUAAAGGUUCAUUACAAACAGGGGAAAUGGUCAUAUCAUAGCUCCUGGCUUGGUUCUCAUGUUUAUGUGUGUAUAAAUUUAUAAAAUUGGAAGUUAUGGUGUUACAUUUGUCGUGAUACUUGCUCAUUAUCUAUGAGUUUUGGUGCAAGUCAUGACCAGCAAAUGGAUCAUGAAUGCAUCAUAAUGAUCAGAUUAAUAAAUGCAUUCUUGGCCACCAAUCUAUAUGCUUUCUUGAAAUUGAUCCUAAGAAUGACUUAUAUGUGAGGUUGAGGCUAUUCAUGCUCUCAAAAAUCAACAAAAAUCAUGUGUGUAAUUGUGAUUAGUUCUUUUGUUAAUUGGAUUUGUUUAAUAUAAAGUUCUAUUCGAAUGUGUCAAGUAUCUUUUAUUUGUCACAAACAAACUUAAGCAUUUUUUUUGGUUUUGGCAAAGAAAAAAAGCAUGUCAAAAUUUUGGGUUGUGUUUUAUCCAAUACGGGUCAAAUAAACUUUGGGUUGUGCUUUAUCUCAAACGGGUCAAGUGAAAUUUUAGUUUAUGAUGACAAAGAACAUUAUACAUUAUACAUUUAUUUUAGAUAUGUUUGAUUGUUGAUUAUAUUUCUUUCUUCUUUGUUUUGCAUUCCAACGAUCUUAUCCGAUUGUAUGGUAUUAACAUUACUUCGAACCUUAUUUCGCAUCUCUGAAAGAUCUUCAAUAACAAGGUAUGAUCCCAAUUUAUUUCUAUUAACAUCUUGAUUUGGUUAUUGUUUAACAUUUAAUGAUGUUUUUUUUUUGGUUAUGCAUUCGUUCGCAUCUAGGGUUUCAUCUUUUCUGAAUCUUUAAUUGAUAUUUGAAGUAUAAUGUAAUUAUGUAACUGGGUUUAGUUUUAGUUACAAAAUUGGUGUAGAAUCUGGGAAUUUGAUAUUAAUAUAUGUGGAUUUUAAAUUAGAAUUUGAGAUGUGGUCAUACGAAGAUGGAACUAAUUCUUUAGCCAUGGCUAAAUGAGUGGGUAAGAUUCUAAGUUUUUUUAACUGUUGUACAAUUUAUUUGUUUCAUGUGAUUUUAUUACUUAUCCAAUUUUAUUAUUGCUGGAGUGAGAGCUAAUGAGUUCCUUUAAAAGCUUGGAGCUUUUAUGAUAGAGACAUUACUCCUAAAGGUGGGUGAAAACGUGAAGGUAACUUGACUCUAAUUUGUUAUCUAAUUACUUAAUAUUUUUUUAUCAUAGAAAAUAAACAUAUCUAUGCGAUGGAGGGUAUAUUAUCAUACUUUGACCACUUUUGUUAUAUUUGCAAGAAUCUAAUGCAAAUGUGGAAAAAAUUAUAGCUCCUAAUGGUCUAAUAAAAAGUUAGGGUCUGUGUUUGGUGUUAAUCAGGUGCUUAAUUUCUUUUAUCAUAUUUUAAUUAAACAGUUAAAUCUUUUUUUAUUUUUGGAGUAAUCCAAUCUCUCAUGGGACAAAAAUUCCUCUUUUAUGGGUACAACUCAGUUGAACGGCGGUGGUGCCUCCAGGUAGUAUAUUUACAAGAUCCGGUGUUUAAGGUAUAUAUAAAUACUUAAUUAGUUAAACCUUCACUUGAAUCUAUAUUCACUUGGUAUAUAGCUCAGGUUAUGAAACUAAUAGAGGUUGGUACUUGGUUAAUUAAAGAAGUAAACAUUUUUUGAUGUAGAUAUACUUUUACGGAUUAUUUGCAAGGAAGUAGGCUAAAUUAAUCGCUUUCUAAAAAAACAUUUUUAAUGUAUGCUUUAUCAAAAUAUAAUUUGUUGUGAAGCAUUGGUGAUUGCAAUGACGGAUAGCCCCACACUCAACCCGUUCUUCUCCAUUAAUCGCAUCUCUUUUAUUAAAUCCUAAAAGUGAUCGGUCUUUGUUGAAGAUUAAAGAUAGCCGCUUUGUUUUUCAUUUGAUUUCCACAUGUACGUUUAAUCAACUGUUGAUAGGGUUAUGUGCAAUAAAAGACUGGUGGAUUGAUUUUCUUAGCAGUUAUGGUAGCAAUCAUAGGUGAUGUAUAUGAUGAUUUUAGCUUCACAAGUUAGUAGAUUUUCAAAGUUGGUGACGAACGAUUCAAAUUGAGGAUCAAGACUUUGUAUAAUUUGUAAAACCAAGGGAGAUUAGAGAAUUCAGUUCUCACUGAGAUUCGUUUUUUUAAUUAUAUCAGUUAUGAAAUUCUUUAUUAGAAUACAUGCAGUUUUAAAGUUUAUCAACGAAGCUAAGCUCAGUUUACAUUAUGCAAUUAUGAUUUUAAGGAUGGCCCUUGAAGAAUUCCGCAGUGGUUGCUGGUGGCGGUGUAAUAGAUGUGUAUAUUUUUUCCAAGGACUUAAGAUGAAUCACUACCUUCUGGAUGUAGGUCAAAAAGAUCCCCAUCAGUAUGAUGUCUAUCCACUGGGAUGGUUCUCAACUUUCAGUUAUAUUAUAUUGGUGGCAAUUGUUCUUAAAUUCGCUUUAAGAUUGGGCGAGAGACAAAACAAGAGUUAUUGAAAAGUCAAUGGGAGAAGUUGGGAUCAAGCCGGCGACAAUUGAGGUCGAUGGUCGAUAUGCAUUUGGAUAUUUGUCUGGUGAAAAAGGAACACAUCAAAUUGUUAGACAAUCUCCUUUUAACACAAAAGGUCUUCGUUAGUCAAGCUUUUUUGAUAUUGAAGUGAUGGGUCUUAUUUCAGAAGAUUCACUAAAUGUGGAAAUACCAGAUGAAGACCUUCAACUAGGGUUCUCAAGAGCUUGUGGGAGUGGUGGUCAGAAUGUUAAUAAAGUUGAAUUUGUUGUCAGGAUUACCCGUAUUCCAACCGGAGUAACCGUUCGUUGUACAGGGGUGAACAUAUGAUAUUGGUCCAACUUUUGAGGUCAAGUUAAAUGUAUAAUAUACUCUUCAAUUACUUGGUUUUUUGUCUUAGAAAUGUAAUAUGAAGACCAACAUUUUUAUUUUGUUUAAACCCACGACACAUAUACCAUUGAGAGAGAGAGAAAGUGAUAGCAAACCGUUCUGGUGGCAGUCAACCUUCAAGAUCGGAGAAUAAGGAACCCGAUCGUGGUGUCAGUAAUGGGCGGUGGUGUUGAUCUUUGUGGAAGUAUCCAUCAAAGCCCAUGAGUCAAGGCAAUUCAGACUUCUCAUGCUACCAACUACCGCUGCAAAUGUUCUCUCUUAGCCUUGCCUUUUGUUGUACUUAUUGUUAUUUUUAUCCAUUCCACACCACCAUACUAUAUAUUCAACCCCUCAUAAUUUUCUUACAAAUUUAUACAAGAAGUUGAAUAUAUUAGUAUACAUUAGUUGGGUUUAAGAAAGAUGACUCUUUUGUAAUAAAAAACAAAGGAAGUUGAUAAUUCGUGAAAGUUUGGAACUCAGCACAGAUUUGACCGAUUAUAUAGCAUAAUUAUCCGAGGGCAGUUGAAAAUUCAUCUAUGCUUUCUCUAUUAGAGACCUGAUGGCCAUUCAUGAAUUUUUCGAAUCUGGGAUCUAAAGCUAAAGAGGCGCUGUAGGGGAUCAUUCUGGUGGUUUGCUGGGUGGUGUGGAAAACGAGAAACGAUUAUAGAUUUAACGGUACAGAGAAGACGGAUGUCGACAUUAUCCAAGAGGUCAAGGUGUUAGGUUAUUUGUGGUACCGUAAUAGGUCUAAGAAUAGGAAUAUUUCGUGGGACGAAUGUUGUUCUUUCACUAUAAUGUAAGCGGUUUUGGUG